UUUAAAUUUAUGUUAGCUCUUAUUUUUAAUUUCCUCUGUUUCCAGAUGCUGUGUUUGCUGGGUGUUGAGGUUUGUUUUUUGUUUGGUUUUUGUUUGUUUGAUUUAAGAUCUGUGAUAUUAUUCCAUCUGCAGUUAAAGAAAUAAAACAUUUAUAGGACUGAUAUUGCCACGUGCUGGAUAACCCACAAAAGUAAGGAGAGUCUUGAACUUCUCUUUAAUGAGAAAUGGGAAGAGAUCAUAGGGAAACUUGAAAUCAGAUCCUCAGUUUUAAGUGGGGAUGUCACUUAACCUAUCCUCUGUCUUAUUUUCUGCUAUCAAGAAAACGAAAGCCAAUGUUCUUGAUUUCAAAAAGCUGUGUGAAGGAUUAAAAUCCACAAACCAUUGUGAGGUACUUAGAACUAUAUACAGUGAAUAUGUGUAAAAUACUUUUAUAAAGAGAAAUUAAUGUAUUACAUGGACUUUGUAGGUCUUCUCAUGAAACUUGUUUUCAAUAAUUUUCUUUCUUAAAUGCCUUUUUUUUUUUCAUGUGUUGUAGAGUUAUAUCACUUUGGCACCAAACUGUUUUUAAAAUUGUAUCAAUUUACCCUUCCAGGAUUAUAUUUCUUCCCUGAUUUGACAAUGGAAAACCUGUUGAUAGUGUUUCUAGUAAUGGGUUGCAAUCAGCAAGCCCUGUGAUGCCAUAUGUAUUCCAUCUCUCUCUGCUGCAGUUUGACUGUAAAUUUUUUUCAGUAGGUUGACUCUAUUCAGACUUUUUUGCCACACUUGGGAUUGUCAGUUCAUAGCACCCCUAACAAGUCCUAAACCAGAUAUAAUUUAUCCUUUUUGUUGCUACCAUUAUAGCAACAUAACAGUAUUUUGUACUCUGUUACCAAAAACAACAGAAAGGAGGUAGCAUGUCCCUGCCUCAUCUGGUUCAAAUUAGGCUGGUUGAGCACAUUAUUAGCCUGCAGAUUCUAGUAUCAACAGUUGCAAAAUAAUGCCCUGUGUUAUGCUUUGAUCUCAAAAAAAGGAGUUAAGAGUUGAGUUUUAGCCUCUGCUUUUGCCACACAGCUAUGAAAUUUGAGACAAUUGCAUUGUUCGCAAAGAGCUUGGAGAUCUUUUCCAGGGCUGAGCUAUACAGUGUAAAACAUCCGUCACUCAUCCAGUAUCUUGAUACCACAGAUGUGUGCAAUCUGUUUCUCUUCAUUAAAAAUAAGCUGAAUAACUGAGGAUAAGUUUUAAAACAAUAUUUUUGGCAGCAGUUGAGCUUAAGCAUUUGUUGCCCUUGCCUCUUUGCUCAUGCAGCAAACCCUGCAUAUGCUGGUGUAACAUUUGGGUGGCUGCAGUGUCAAGUAGGUUGGGAAAUUGAACCAGAAGGAAAAGAGCCAGUAGGAAAAAAAAAGGAAAGGUUUUUGAGCUGGCCGCAUUCCUGGAUCAGGCCCAGUACAGCUCAGGAAGUGGUGCAAGAAGAAAAAACAGCUGCAAACCAGGCAUGGAAGCCUACGAUCCUACCAUUGCUUAAACCACUUAAAGCAUUGCUACCAACAGAUGUUUUUAUAGCCCCAAGUUAAAAGCUUCCAAAUUGUUUACAGGAUGUGACAUGUGAUGGUUACUUUGGAUCAACAUUUCCAUUAAAUCUUUUAAAGCAUUUAAGAAAAUACCUUUUCUUCAAAAGCAGAGAAGAGCAAGGGACAUCAUAAAUGGCUAAAGGCAACAAUGAGACAGAAUUGGGUUUCCUAGUACUCUUCUACAACUUUUGAAAAUUCUUCUUAUACAUCUACUUUUUUU